rnacentral:lncRNA from 1 species
UUCAUAUUUUCAAAUAUGUGAUUAGUGGGAUAUUCUUACUGGGCUAGUGUAGCUCAUCAUUUCAUUAACUAUUUCAGAUUAAAGAUCUCAAUUAACAAGAGGGUUGUGAAUAGUUCACUAUCCGGACUCCCUUCAAAAGCUAGUGAAGGUCGUCCUAGGAUGUUUAGUAAUUUACUUUUCAUUUAUUUCUUUAAUUUCCGUUUGUUCUUUUAGAAGGGAAUAUUCUUGUUGCCCUAUUGGACAUUCUAAAUUAUUGUGUAAGGAAUGUAAACCCU